GGCAAGGGAAGUACAGACGUUUUGCAGGUAGAUAACGGCACGGACUCCAUUCAGGUGCCCGUGCUGACCAGACCCCGCGGCAGACAGCACAUGCUUGUUAGACAGAAGAAAAGGGCAUUGCUUUCUUACCUCACUGACAGCGCAUCUCUGUAUGGCGAAGACGACAGCGAAGGUGGUCACUGUCCUGCAGGGGUCAACGAUAAAUUCACAGCUUGUAUUGCUCGCCCGUCUGGCUCGGCCUGCGGCGUGACUGUCGAUCCCAAAGUUGAGGAGGUGGGAACCGAAAUAAAACAAAGCAAAAACACAGGUAAGACUCAAAUGACAGCAUCCUUAAGACACCCUAAUGAAGCCUGAGCGACUGCUUCGCUAUUACUCAAGCACAAAUAAACUAUAGAUUCAGUCUUGCAGACCGCACGCAUACAGCAGAGAACGUAGCCCACUUAUUCCAACAGAGCGCUCCUUCCCUAAAUGUGACCUUAUCGAGGUGAAGAACCACACGCGAGUCGAGCUGACUUCAGGGCCAGCAGAACGUGUGUCAUCUGAGGAGGGGCACCACUCACAGAAUACUGCUGCAACCGCUGCCAGUGGGUGAAUGCAGUCAGCCAGGGGAACGUGGCGUUACCUUGUCCUUAACCGCAGCACAUCAGAGCCAGUGCACAGCGCUGCAAACGCUCCAACAAUGCAAACAACGGCCAAUGCUACCAGCAUCAUUCUUCUUUUUUCUAUUUCUGAAUUCUUCUUCAGCAGAAGUACUGAGAGCAAUGGCACUGACAUUCUGCUGACAUCACAUAUCCAACUAAAUACGUUUUUUCUUUUUUUUUUCCCCACUUGGAAUCUCACCAAAUAUUUUUAUCACUCUUGGGACAAUAAAAGGACUUAGUGGGACCGUUUCUCCCUCACUGAGAAGCACUUUUGUUGUUUCAGUUUAUGAGCACGCUGACUCGUCCCUAUUUACGGAAGGAUUUACACACAUACUUAACUCCAGAUAGGUUCUUUAAUCAAUCCUCAUUCAGCAAAACCCUCGCUGGGACGUGUGCUGAAGCAACUUUGCAGACUGGGACCAAUACACGCACACAGAUUUGCAUGUGUUUCAGAGCCAUCUCAGACUACAGCUUUUAGGGGAAAAACAGAAAGCAUCCAGCAUUACCCUCUCAGUGUUCGCAGGGGGAUCAAAAAGGAAUUGCACUCACAGAUCCAGUUUCUGCCUUUCUACAGAGGUCGGGAGACUGCGAAGUUUCUUACAUGUAAAAGCAUCCAUCAUCUAUCAGCUAAGCCAGAACCAUGUGAAAAACUUCAGCUCAUAGAAAAAUGCAAACCGCCGAACGAGAUGCGCGUAUGACAUCAGAUCCCAAAACGCUGUGCCUCUGCCUGAGUAAAACCGAAUGAGAUCAGGAUUUUCAGCUCGCAAGCUCAGGCUGAGCAAAGCAUACAACUUCCUAUGGAGUACUCACUGGAAUACAGCACGUCGUUUCAGCAAGCUGCAGCGUUUACCUGUGCCAAGCCAGUCAGACUGCUGCCUCUUCAGCUAAUUGUGUCGGUAUUUGUUAAAGCAGAGUCGGUACGGGUACCUCCAAGGAGACCUACAGCUCCAUCUGCCACCCGAGCUGCGCAGGGCGCCCAGACCGUACCUGUGCAGCGGCCACCCCAACCCGGUGCGCCCCCAGGCAGCCCUACAGCUGCCACACAGCCCUGCACCCAGCCAGCGCUGCAGCCCCUCCGCAAUUCUGACACGCGUUUCCUUUAAGCCCUGCCGCAGUUCUUCAUCGCGUUUCCCCUCAAUUAGCACACCACAACAAAAGCCAGCGCUGCACGAGCAAUGACAGCCCUCGCUGCCGCGUCCCCAGACGUGCUGCUGAACUUCAGCACGGGGGGGAACCGGGCCUUCGUUUUGCUCUGCCAGCCACGGCACCGAGACCACUGCUUUCACAUCCUAAUGUUGAAAUCGGCAGUUGCUUUCCAGAGCGCUCUGGGGACAGCAGCAGGCCCGGAUGUCUGGACGAACGUGCCACUCAGCAACGAGAUGGUGCAUCUACAGCCAUGUGGCAGACAGCAAAAAUAUCCUCACCCAGCUAAUGCAAGGUUCAUUGAUUUAAUGAAAGGAACCAUGGGAGAGAGGCAGAGGCUGGAGACAGCUGGAAAUCAAGUGGAGGCCCCGCAGAAGUUGCCACCCCAUCCUCUGCAUUCUGUUCUGCAGACGCGGCAUUCUCCCGCCUGCCACCUUUUUUUAUUCCAGUUGUACUCCUGUUACCUCAGGAGAAAGGAAUCUUUCCUUCUCAAACCUCCACCUUGCCAAGAGGUGUGGCACACGCCAUGGAAGAGAAGCCACAUUCAUGCUGAAGCAAGCUUUGGGCAACUUUCCCUUCUGCGGCAGGCUCGUGUAAGAGGCUCGUGUGUUCCUCCAUCCUGUGGCUAUGGUGUUUGCCGCAGGACCCACACUUUUUGCCAUGAACCAGCCUCUGGCCUUUUAUAUCUUUGUCCAUGUUUCUGCUUCAGAGUUGGAAGAGCGUAAGUCAGUUGUAAACCAAAGCGGUAUUUUUUUCCCAGCAGGCAGCCUCUGCCCACGUCCCGGGGAAGUGCCGUAACUGCAGCCAGCCGCAUCAGGUUCACAAACUCACCUCCGUUUUGACGUGGUUACAUAACAGAGAUAAGGGGACAGUGCCUUUGCUGACAUUGCCUGGCACGCAGGAUGCUCUUCUACGUCACAAGAUGCCAUUAUGCCUCUGCAGUUCCUCUUUUGAGGGCCUAUGGCAGGGCUCAAAGCGUUCCCCCAGAAGCGAGCAGCACGCGGCAUGGUGGGGGCACCGAGGGUGGGAAGCAGCACCUGAGCGAGAUCUCAUGUGCUGCCACGGCCUGGACAAAGGUCCCUCAUUGUCUGUCAAGGCAGCGCAGUCUAUUGACCCAGACGUGCAGAACUAUGCCAGAGGUGAAAGUCGUUUGCUACAGAAAAUAGACACAAUUGCAGACCAGGACAGUUCUGACAAUAAGAAUGGAGAGAGGCACUGUGGCAGUGCAGAACGUACAGAUUGGGGCUCCAGCACGACGGUGUGAGUUGGACACAGGAACCCACUCGAGCAGUGCCUCCUGCCAGUAACGUGCUGAAACUGGUCAGACUCCCAGCUGAAUGCGUUCUUGACCAAAAGACAGUCAUCAGUUUGACAUGCAGGAGGCACGUCAUCUAGGAGAGACUGUCUUUCAGUGCACUGAUGUCGUGCCAUCAACAUGCACGCUUUAUGUAAUUAGUAUCUGUAAGAAAUGGGAAAGUAAGAGGUAAUACAAGUUGGAUUUUUUUUUUUUAACAUCCACGUUCAGGGAAAUCCAGUGACUGACGAUGCACUGCAUGUGAACAGUAAUCUUACAAUUAUCGAUCAUUACAGUCUAAGACUUCAAUUUGUCAUAAAAUGACAUUGUUGGUCUCAUUACAGCCUCUAGUGGACAGUAGUAAUCCACUUCACAGACCUGUCAUACAAGCUGCUCAGAUGACAAGUGUUAUCAAGGUGGGGGUUACGCUGAAAGAACACGAGGACACGGUCGUGCUUGUCCCGUGGCAGGAAGGAUUUUCCAAUAUAGUCGAGAGUUUGCUGGCAUUGAUCUGAAGGUGCCUUGCUUUAUGCUUCAGGUAUCAGUGCUGGCUCGUAAAUAAACAGAGAACUUUGCUCUCAAUUUCCAUCUCAGACAGCUUUCAUAAAAAAAAAAAAAAAAAAACUAAAUUAAUCUCAAAUGUUUUUAUAACAGAAAAUAUUGGUUGUCAUGUUUUUGGCUUAAGUAUGAUGUUUUUAUUCCAACUCGGGAUCUGCAGACUGUCCAAUCCACCUCCUCUCUAUUUAUAGCCUGCUUGCAUUCAGAUAAUUCUUGCAAAUGCAGUUAUUUUCAUUAUUAUUUCAGACAUAGGCAGCUGAUUUAAGGUAUUUUAGCAGCUUUAACGAGUGAGAAACUGUAAUUUGGAUUACAGCUGGCUAAUUAAGGUACGCUUUCCUCUGGGAAGUUAAACAUGUACACGACCCGAACAAUAACAUAUUUAGAAUGUAUUCUCUAACUUGAAGUGCCACUUGUGUGAACACAAUAACGUAUGACUAACAUCUUUAUUUUUCGUGUAUUUGCCUAGAAAUGAGUGCAUCCCUGUCAGAACAGGGAGGUUGACGAUGGUCUCCAAAACUCAGCUGGGAUUGUUUUCAGAUGGAAGGAAAUGAGAGUGGCACACACGGAGAAUCAAUGCUGUCUCUUUAAAGCCACAAUUAUCUCAUACAAAUUAACAUCUAGUGAAGCGAGAGCCAAGUAUUCACAAAGACUAAGCAAGUAUGUAGUACUACACUUUGACUCAAAGAGAAAACUCUAUGGUUCAAAAUGCUGAGGUCAGAAAACUGUAUGGUCUAAAAUGCUGAGGUCCUUUGCAAGUGAAUUCAAAGGAAAGGCUGCCAUUGAUUUUUUUACUGCACCUACGUAUGGGGCCGCAGGGUCACUGAACAAAACAUUUUUGUCAUUUCUUAUCAGACAGAUAAUGGGAUAUCAAGGUAAAAAUGUGUACCUCAUCAAUGUCUUGUUUUUUAAAAAGAAGCAGUCAAAUUCCCCUUUAAAAUAACAAUAGCUUCAAUGGCUUUAACAUGAAAAUAGCUCCUUCGAUGCAGAUGUGACACAAGAUGCUUUUUUUGUUUGCUUGGUUUUGUUUCUUUUUUAAACAGAGAAAGCAAUUCAUCAAGGGAAUAAAAACGGAUGACUCCUCUGAAGUCUCGAAAUGAAGACAGAUUUCAUAUUUUGAAUAUGUUGUCAGUUAGUUGUAUGUCAUUGAUGCAGAAGGAAAAGCAGCUAAGUUACCAGUGGUGGCCCUGGGAUGGACCGCAGCCAAGCCUAGCCCUGAAUGCUGUUCCAGCAGUGACCAGGGAAAAAUAAAAAUGCUAAGCGCUUCUCUCAAGGUGCUCAAUUGGUCUAGGCACGCUCGAGUAAUAACCACAACAGGUUGUUAGGUGCCUUGCGGCCUACGGUGUCAAGAUGUCAGAGGUCUCUGUCCACAUGCUGGUCUCCAUAAAACUCUUCUGACACUGCCCUUAACCCUGCAGGUGGUGUGAGCAGAAGGGCCAGGCAGGAGCAGAACCUCAGCUGCUGUCUCCUUCCUAGAAGCAAUCACUUCAUAUUGGGGUCAAAGUCCACCAGCAGGGAACAGAAGGAAGGCUCCAUCGCAUGGAAAAUUCUUGGCUUCCAGGACCGUCAAGGCAGUGUUGUUAAUGAGGAUUAACAUUCAACCAAAAGGAAGACAAAGAAGUAAUGAGAAUUCACUGUCCACUUUCUGGGAGAGGGCUCUCUGUUUCUGGCAGAGCAGCCAGAGUCCACUCGAGUUGUCCCUUUAAACCAUACCUGGUACAGAGACUUAUCUGGGAGUUCACUUGCCAGUUUUUUCUCUGUUACGGUCUAGACAGAUUAGAUUAGCAUCUAUCAUGUAAACACUUUGGAUUGGGAAAUAACUCUUGUCCUUUCUUAAAGUGUUUUUCCUGCAUGUAAAGCAGUGUGGUUUCUAAAGCCUGUUACAGUCUCACUCAUCAAUACUAUUCACAUUUUGGUAAGUGAUGUGAGUGUUCAUGGGAGGAGAAGGGGCUACAAUGGGCUAUUUGCCUGUUUGAACAGACUUAGGAAUUGAAAACAUGGAUUUUUGACAACUCAGCGCUUUAACAGCCACAAGUGAGCUGUUCUGGUCUAUUGAAGAAAUCCUUCCUACCUCAUGGAUCAGCAACCUAACAGACUUGCAGAACCAAUAUGCUUAAUCCUGCUGCCAAGACUCCACGUUCUGUCCACAUGCUAAAAAUCUUCAUGACAUCUUUUGUUGAGAAAAGGUGCAGCAUAUGAAUAACAGCCAUUUUCUACCCUCAUUGUCUCUACCUCUCCACAAAAUAGGACACACAAGGGCCUUGGCCCCAAAGCUUUCAUGCAUAUUCAGAACAGAAGUAUACAAAAUUCAGUCAACAUUGGCAGAUCUGGGCUCCUGCCUUGGUUUCAAGAAAGAGAUAAGUGUCAGUUGCUUUAUGUCCAAGACUAGAGUUAUUUUGCACCUAUCGUUUCAAGUAAUGUUAAAGGAAAGCCAAAAACUAACAGUGUAGUAACCUGAGGUACAGUCAGUGAUAGUCCUGCAAUACAUGAAUCUUAUACAUGGAAGAGAAUGUGUUAUAUUUUCUUUUUUGUUGUUGCUGUUUUCAAAAGGUAUUGCAUGCCACAAAUCUGCAGCCACUUUGAGCACAUUGAUGUAGACUUAGUGCAUAAACAUCAAACAAAAAUUUAAGUGGGAUGAAUAAGGGAUGAAGCAAUUGCAGUACCCUCUAAGACUUAAUCCAUAGUCACGAUCAAUAGAAAAAUGUUCAGGCAGAGGAGGACUGCAGACAUGACAGCGCAGUCAAUUGCUUGCAGGGUAGGAAGUCCUCAGCCUGCAAGCCUUUGACCAACAAGGUAGGUAAGCACAGUAAACAUUUACCUUGUAUCCAAUUACAAGUUGAAGUGGUGUUUUUCCAGUUUCUUCUGCAGGGUCAUGGGCAUGUGGUGUCCUCAAGAGCUCUGAAACUCUGUAAUUUAAAAAAAAAUGUCCUGAGAAAGGUGACAAGGCAUCAGUGGUUAAAUUAGAAUUAUUUCAGCAUAUAUAGAUUUGUUCAAAA
rnacentral:lncRNA from 1 species